GACAAGUCCGAGAUGGCGGAGAGGGACAGUGGGGCUCCCGCUGGCUUCCCGUCCUCUGUGUUUUGAUCAAAGCCCUGGUUCUCGGUCCCUUCUGUGUGCAGCCAGAUGAAAGGCAUUGUUGGGCACCUGUUUGCAAAGAAGUGGUGUUUCCUCACAGGACGGCUCACCCACGGCUGGGACUGCUCAGUAGGGACGAGACUGACAAGUCCACCCACAAGUUCAGGGACCCAUCCUGCUCUCCCAGGUGACUCCUCGAAGCAACCACUCGGAGAUCCAGAAUCUUCCCAUCAUCUGGCUCCACCAUCUUGGAGAUGGCCAAGUGACAGUGUAGAAGAUUGCAUGUAGGAUAUUUGCUGGAAAUGGCUUCCCUCAUUCUGCCUUUAUGCCAUUGGCCAAAACCUAGUCACAUGGACCCACCAGAUGCAAGAAAGGCCAGGAAAUGUAAUCUUCUUAUGUGCCCAGGAGGAAAAUGGAAGUCUGAUGACCACAUAGCAUUGUUUCUGCUGCAAGUAUCAUUUCCUCAUGCGGAUGGUCCAGAGGGCAACAAAUCAAGCCUUGGUCCGUAGUGCUUGUCAGUUUCCGCGGUGUACCUGCUCUGACCGGGACUGAUUUCAGGUGACCAACGUGAACAUCACUGAACAGGAAAUCGGGGAGUGACACCCAAGAGCACACCACACGAUGCCAUUUCCACCUUACGGAUACUACAGGUGUAAUUAACCCAACGAGCACAGAUAACAGUAAAACGUAGCGACGUUUUGAAUUUUCACCGCUUCUGUUUUCAACGUAGUUUAUUUAAUGUUACACCAAUAUCAUUGAAUUUUAAAUAACGGCUUUGUUUCACAGCUGGUUUACAAAAUUCCCUACAGUUUCACCACAGGCACUUGUGAGCCUCGCCAGCCCCAGCCGGGGUGUCUCUAGCGCUUCGCGAGAGGCAUGGACAGAUGUGGGUCUCGGGAAUGAAUGCUUUCACAAUGACUUGUCUCUGACUCUCUGAGGGCCUGGGCCAGUCACUCACCCUCCUUUGUCUCUCCAUCUCAGCCAAGAGGCUAUUAAUGCCUACUUCAUAGAGGUGUUGGGAGUUAAUUAAGGUUCGCUAAGUGCUUUGAAAUCCACGGAUGAAAGGCCCAGUGGGGGAGAACUUUAUUAUUAUUCCAUGUAUCAUCUUAAGAAGUGUAGGGUGAUGAUAGCCACCUGGCACUUUUCAUCUUCAAAGUGUUCUCCAGACGUUAUAGCCAAUUAAACGUCACCGUUCCCUGCCCCCACGAGUGGGUGUCCUCUAGAGAGGGAACCACGUGGUGAGUGGGUGACUCUUUCACCCUUGGCCACCAGGGACUGGGGGUCAGGGUGAGGAUCUCAGGUCUUCCAGCUGCGGUCUGCCCCUUGGGCUCUGCUUCCUCCCACCCAGCCCCCAUCCUCUCUACAGCGGUGUGGUGGUGAGGCCCGUCCAAGCCCCGAGAUCUGGAAAGCCCUUUGCUUCUUCCGUGAUGCGUGUGAUGCUACUCAUCAAACGUUGUCCAUCCUAGGAUGCAUUUUUCCUCUCUCACGUUUGAACAUCCCUGAAAUCUGUAGGCACUUUCCAGUUGACGAAGGAUCACAGUUUGGUCGGAAGUACAUGCAAUAAACACAGAAAACAAUAGAUAGGGGUGUGGUCAUAACAGCUGUCAUCAGCAAUUGUCGACAUACGAUACUGUUACACGUUCUAGAACUCACAGCUUUGCGGUUUAUUUCCCGCUCAUUUUCAGAAGAAACUCUUUUCCCCAGACCCUUAUUAUAAGUAACAUAUGGUCACUAUAUGAGGUGGAAAACGAGAUAAUUCAGGUAAAGAAAAGGCAGCAAAAAUCCUAAAUCUCAAAUUUCUGCUGUUGUAAUGUCAUGGUGACAGAAAUGACACACUUUUAACCUUGACCUGAAUAAAUCAUUAACCUUU